GACGAACGCUGGCGGCGUGCUUAACACAUGCAAGUCGAACGGAAAGGCCUCUUUCGGGGGGUACUCGAGUGGCGAACGGGUGAGUAACACGUGAGUAACCUGCCCUUGACUUUGGGAUAACUUCAGGAAACUGGGGCUAAUACCGGAUAGGAGCUCCUGCUGCAUGGUGGGGGUUGGAAAGUUUUGGCGGUUGGGGAUGGACUCGCGGCUUAUCAGCUUGUUGGUGGGGUAGUGGCUUACCAAGGCUUUGACGGGUAGCCGGCCUGGGAGGGUGACCGGCCACAUUGGGACUGAGAUACGGCCCAGACUCCUACGGGAGGCAGGAGUGGGGAAUAUUGCACAAUGGGUGGAAGCCUGAUGCAGCAACGCCGUGUGCGGGAUGACGGCCUUCGGGUUGGAAACCGCUUUCGCUCAUGACGAAGCUUUGUGUGACGGUAGUGGGUAAAGAAGCACCGGCUAACUACGUG
rnacentral:rRNA from 1 species